GACGAACGCUGGCGGCGUGCUUAACACAUGCAAGUCGAACGAUAACGCCCUAGCUUGCUGGGUUUGAUUAGUGGCGAACGGGUGCGUAACACGUUAGCAACCUGCCCUUCACUUUGGUAUAACCUCAGGAAAUCGGGGCUAAUCCCGGAUCUUAUCUCCUGUCGCAUGGCGGGUGUUGGAACGUUUUUCCGUGUAGGAUGGGCUCGCGGCCUAUCCGUUUUUUGGUUGGGUUGUGGCUCACCAAGGCGAUGAAGGGUAGCCGGCCUGAGAGGGGUACCGGCCACAAGGGGACUGAGAGACGGCCCAGACGCCUACGGGAGGCAGCAGUGGGGAAUAUUACACAAUGGGCGAAAGCCGGAUGAAGAGACGCCGCGUGGGGGAUGACGGCCUGCGGGUUGUAAACCGCUUUCAGCAGGGAAGAAGCGAAAGUGACGGUACCGGAAGAAGAAGCACCGGCUAACUACGUG
rnacentral:rRNA from 1 species